GUGGCAAUGGUUGGCGCAGGGGCACUAACCUCAGCUGGAUAAUGGGAGCUGAAUGUAAGGGAUCACCUUAUAACCUGAAUGUAUCAGUGGACUAGGAGGCGCUCAUGACUACGCAGCCAGAAUCUGAGCUGU